AUCACGUAAAACGUGACUCGGUACAGCAGGGGCUGUGGGUGCGGGCGCCCCCUGGAGGCUGUGAGGCUCCCAAACCCUCGGGGGAGAGGCCUCGGGCGCCCCCUGCGGGGCAGCGCUGACUCUACAUCCCGCAGGGUUCCGGCAGGUCCCUUGCUCUCCAACGGAGAUCUUGCAUCGCCCCCUGGCGGCCCAGAUCCGCGCUGAGCCAGGUUCCAAAAUUCAAGGGGCUGCUGAAUCACACACAGCUCGGCUACAGAAAGCUGCUCCCAGCCGCAAGGGCGCAGGGGCAAACUCCUUCCAGGCAGAGCAUAAUAGAGGCUGACAAAUUUGGUGAGAGGGGUGUCUUCAGGGAGUGGGAGAAAGAGCCUCAGUUUUGGAAACCCCUCAGCUACAAAAUGAGUCAGUAAGUAUGUGAGAGGCUAUUUCUGUAUGCUGCUGUGUCACUGUGAGUGGGGAAUCUGUGUAUAGGUAUACUGCCAUUUCAUAUCUGUGUGCAUCUUCUCCAAACCAGCAUCCCUGUAGAAACCUCAAGGGACUUGACCUGCAAGCCAUCAUUUUUGUGGAAAGAAAAGUGAUUCCUGGGGUUACAGUUAUGUCUAAUACCAUAGUGAAGGAACUAAGGUCCAGGCCCGGGGUGAACUGGGUAACUACAAAAAUGUAUUAAUAAACCAGAACAGUUGUUCCAGGAACAGCCAAUCCUAAUCCCUGCCUUUAUUUUUGGAAAAGUGACCACGUUGCUAUAUGGGAGGAGGGCGGGUAACUGUCCUCUGAAGGUGACAGAGGAGCCCUUGUGGGCUAUGCCUGCCUUCUGUCUUCUCACUGAAGGGUAAACUGAAAGGAAGGCAGAAGCAGAACUUGGUUUUCUUCUUCUACUUCCUCUUAGGUUUCCGUAAGCAGGGAGUAAAGACUUUUAAAAUCAAUGGGCUGAUGAAGAUGGCGUCUUAGGCUAUGUGGGUGGAAAAGUACAAAGGUUCAGUCAAAAGCCUAGGAUCAAUCAGAGUAGCUAGGAAGAAAGGAGCUAUAACUGAAAAAAUUCCAAAGAAGCAAGGAAAAUAAGAGGGUUUUCUCCAUUUCUGUUGAUUUGGGAAGAACCUAGAUUACUUUCUUCUUCCAACCCCAGUGCAGAUCUCUGGAGCCGCUAACUUCCAGAGCAACAGCUAUGUUAGUUUACUUAAGCCAGUACUAGGUCCGGGAGAGGUAAUGAAAAAUUUUUUUCACUUGGUUUGUUGUUGAUUGAAAGACCUUGUUUUUGAAGAUGAACAGAAAUAACCACAGAAAGACCCAACAGAUAUACUGACACACCACUGAGAAUGCAUACAAAAAUGUACACACAGGUAGACCUGCAUGCACAUGCACACACUUAUUUUAACAAGAGAGAAAAUGCCCUGCAGUACCAAGCACCACCACAGGCUACAGUGGUUCUCGGAGCUGGUUUCUACAAUUUCCAUACGGAGCUGGUUUCUACAAUUUCCAUACCCCACUGGGAAUUUCAAGGCCAAAUGCCCCUGGGCAGGCACUAGGAGAAAGGGCUAGAGAGACCAAUAAUGUAAUGAAGGGUAAGGGCUGUUGAAUUUAAACCUCGCAGCAUUUGGCCUGGAUGAAGACUGAAGUCGUUGCUCCUUGAAGGUAAGAACUGAUCAAGGCUUAUGAGCAAGGUUAAUUUUGGAAUCCUCUCCAUAGCAUCUAACACUGUAAGGGUGCAAAAAAUCUUAAAUGAAAAAUAUUCCAUUUCUAAAUGGGAAAAACUGGCAAAAUACCUCCCUCUCACCAGAAGAGGGCACUCUGACAUCCCAACAAUAAGAGUGGAUUGGGAAGGCUAGAGGCUAAAUUAAGAAUUCCUCCCCUCCAGAACCCCUAAAGAUUCUUUAACUGCAGUGUACUGCUAUAUCAGGGUGGGGUGAAUGGGAAACAAGCAACGGCAGCUGUACUUGGUGCGUUGGGGAGUGCCUGGCAAAGGCAGACAGUGAGAGGCUGGCUGUAUGGCAUAAGCCUAUUCACCUGGGGUGGCUGCCUCCUCUAAAGACAGCCUUUAGCUGUUUAACAGGAUAUCCAUUUAUUACCCACUGGAGGGAAAGGAAUAGAGUACAGAAGCCUGGACGUGUUAUUUAGGAUGCAGCAUAGAAUAUACAAAGCCAAAAGAUCCAAGUUAAAGUUUUAGGGCUAUGACCUCAGGCAAGUCAUUUAACCUGAGUCUUAAAUUUCCUUCUCAUGAAGUUGUGGUGACGAUUACAAUGUCACAAUGUAUGUGAGCACAUACUAAAAACUGCUAAGCAAACCUAAGACAUGACUUAAAAAACACUUUAUCAGUCUCUUUCACAGUCCCAAGGGAAAAGAAAAGCUGUCUAUCGGAAGAAUGAGUGCAGGAGACCGACAGAGGUAAGCACUUCAUUUCCCAAAGGCAUGUGAGGGUAAUGCUGGAUUCAGCAAAAAAAAAAAAAGGAAAUGAGGAAACCAAUCAGAGAUGUAGCUUCCCUGGGACGAGGCAACCAACCUCACAUCUCUUGUGAGGUCAGCUUCAGAACCCCCGGAAAACACAAGCCAAGACUUUGCUCUCUCUUAGUGAU